UUAUUUCAAGUUACAUUCAUCAACAUGAGAUUCCUCGUCCUCCUUGCCCUUGUUGCCGUUGCCAGUGCCGCCACUGUCUCUAAGGAUCAAAUGAUCGAAAAGAGCAUUAAGUGUGAUCUUUGCAAGUAUCUUAUCACCAAGGUCAACGAAAGUGUUUUGACUCAAGACAACGCCGAUCAAGUCAUUGAGAAGGUCGAAGAAAUCUGUGCUCAAGCUCAAGAAGUAUCUUCCUUCCUUGGUGAGACCUGCACCAGUUUCGUGAAUGAUGUUCUCAAGCCCAAGAUUGAGGAUCUCCUUGCCGCCAAGCAAGAACCUGAAAAGGUCUGCAAGGAACUCGAAAUGUGCUAAUUAACUUCUAAACCCCUACACACGAACUUUUCAUUGCUCAACAUCUAAUGAAAAUAAAAAAGAAAAUAAUUCUUUAAAUCUUCAAACAAAUCAAUAAAAUUUAUAAACAAUUUUUCAAAAUUAUUUCACAUAUAUCUCAAAGCUAUUGAAUUUUUGUACAUAAACUUGUCAAUGACAUGAUUAUUGAGAUCGAGGGAUUAAAUAUGUAAAGGAGGUAGGGGGAGAGUACAUUAUAUUUAAUUAUUUUUUGUAUAAUUUCAUUUUAUAAUUUAAUUAUCAAUCACAGUAAAUGGUGAAAAAAAUAUUAUUUUUUUAAAUUUUAUUAUUUACUAACUCUAUUUCUGUAAAUGUUUUAUUUGUUUAUUCUAUAGGUAUAUGUAAUUACAAGUAUUUACUUGAUGCCUACAUACUGUAAUAAAAAGUUAAAUAAAGGCUAGCAUAUAACGAA
rnacentral:misc_RNA from 1 species